rnacentral:lncRNA from 1 species
UAAGACUUAUUGUGGUGAUGACACAUGACUGACUCAAAUCUUGUAACAUUUUUCCUUUAAUAUAUAGGGGAUAACAAAAUAUAUUAAAGUAAACUUUACAUCUAUUAUAAAAUUUUCUAAAUCAUUCAGAAACACAUAUAUUUUCUUAUUUUCUUACAUAAUUUGAUUCAAUGUCAAAUGAGAUUUAUAUAUAAAGUACCUGAAAAUAUAACAAAAAAAUCAACCGAAAAAAUAAAAAUAUAUUUGAAAAUUCAAAAAAUACCAGAAAUAUAUACAAAGUUGAAAAUUCUGAAAAAAAUACCUGAAAUAUAAAAAGUCGGAUAUAUUUUCUUAAUCUUAUUUGAUCAUCUUAUUCGGGUAUGAGACUGUCAUAGCUUGGACCGCAAAAAGCCUGUAUGAUAUAAGAAGGACGGAAGUCAGGAUGAGAGAUGUUUACUGACUAGAAAAGAGCAUAUUCACCUGUACGGAUGAG